AGUUUAUUAGCUCAGUUGGUUAGAGUGUCGUGCUAAUAACACGAAAGUCGUAAGUUCGAAACCUGCAUUGGUUA
rnacentral:tRNA from 1 species